CGGGAAAAGCUCAAAUUUAAAAUCUGGCAGUCUUUGGCUGUCCGAGUUGUAAUCUAGAGAAGCAUUAUCCGCGCUGGACCGUGUACAAGUCUCCUGGAAUGGAGCGUCAUAGAGGGUGAGAAUCCCGU
rnacentral:rRNA from 1 species